rnacentral:tRNA from 1 species
GCCGAGGUGGUUUAGUGGCUAGCGUACCUGCCUAAUAAGCAGGGGACCCGGGUUCGAUUCCCGGCCUUGGUA